rnacentral:tRNA from 1 species
GGGCCUGUAGCUCAGCUGGUUAGAGCACCGGACUCAUAAUCCGUCGGUCCCUGGUUCGAAUCCAGGUGGGCCCACCA